rnacentral:rRNA from 1 species
GGUACUCGAGUGGCGAACGGGUGAGUAACACGUGGGUGAUCUGCCCUGCACUUUGGGAUAAGCCUGGGAAACUGGGUCUAAUACCGAAUAUGACCAUGCGCCUCCUGGUGUGUGGUGGAAAGCUUUUGCGGUGUGGGAUGGGCCCGCGGCCUAUCAGCUUGUUGGUGGGGUAAUGGCCUACCAAGGCGACGACGGGUAGCCGGCCUGAGAGGGUGACCGGCCACACUGGGACUGAGAUACGGCCCAGACUCCUACGGGAGGCAGCAGUGGGGAAUAUUGCACAAUGGGCGCAAGCCUGAUGCAGCGACGCCGCGUGAGGGAUGACGGCCUUCGGGUUGUAAACCUCUUUCAGCACAGACGAAGCGCAAGUGACGGUAUGUGCAGAAGAAGGACCGGCCAACUACGUGCCAGCAGCCGCGGUAAUACGUAGGGUCCGAGCGUUGUCCGGAAUUACUGGGCGUAAAGAGCUCGUAGGUGGUUUGUCGCGUUGUUCGUGAAAACUCACAGCUUAACUGUGGGCGUGCGGGCGAUACGGGCAGACUUGAGUACUGCAGGGGAGACUGGAAUUCCUGGUGUAGCGGUGGAAUGCGCAGAUAUCAGGAGGAACACCGGUGGCGAAGGCGGGUCUCUGGGCAGUAACUGACGCUGAGGAGCGAAAGCGUGGGGAGCGAACAGGAUUAGAUACCCUGGUAGUCCACGCCGUAAACGGUGGGUACUAGGUGUGGGUUUCCUUCCUUGGGAUCCGUGCCGUAGCUAACGCAUUAAGUACCCCGCCUGGGGAGUACGGCCGCAAGGCUAAAACUCAAAGAAAUUGACGGGGGCCCGCACAAGCGGCGGAGCAUGUGGAUUAAUUCGAUGCAACGCGAAGAACCUUACCUGGGUUUGACAUGCACAGGACGACUGCAGAGAUGUGGUUUCCCUUGUGGCCUGUGUGCAGGUGGUGCAUGGCUGUCGUCAGCUCGUGUCGUGAG